GCUCAAUUUUCCUUUCUAUCGGUGCUUCAUCCGUUGCGCUUUCGCCCGAGAGUUAACGAAAUGGUGCAGGGGCAGAGCUCGGUGGUGAAGCUGGGGGAGUGGGGCAGCGACGGCGGCGCCAUCCACGACAUUGACGUCACUGCGGCGGCGCGGCCACGAGCUUGAGCGGCCGCGGCGCCUGCGGAGUCUCACCGGAGCAACGGGAUGGGACGAUGGUGCGGCUGCUACGAGGGGCGGCAGCGGUGAGGCAAGCAGCGAAGAGAGAGAAAAAGAAUAAAAAAAAUGGAUGGAUGGCAGAUGGGCUGGACGGGGCAUGCAGAGGACCGAGACGGACGAAGAGGACACACAAAACGUUCGUUUUGCGUCCGUCUUCAAUCCAAAUGUGUCUUAAAUUUGGAACGGAAAUAGGUUCGAGCAGACACGAAUAGAACAGAAAAUAAGAAUGGGUCACUACAUUGCGCUGUGAUUUCUGUCCACAUAGACACAAACAAAAAUGAACGGACAAAAUGGAUCA